rnacentral:rRNA from 1 species
CCCCCGUGGCGGGCCGGCUUAACACAUGCAAGUCGACGAUGACUAUCUAGCUUGCUAGAUAUAGAUUAGUGGCGGACGGGUGAGUAACAUUUAGGAAUCUGCCUAGUAGUGGGGGAUAGCUCGGGGAAACUCGAAUUAAUACCGCAUACGACCUACGGGUGAAAGGGGGCGCAAGCUCUUGCUAUUAGAUGAGCCUAAAUCAGAUUAGCUAGUUGGUGGGGUAAAGGCCCACCAAGGCGACGAUCUGUAACUGGUCUGAGAGGAUGAUCAGUCACACCGGAACUGAGACACGGUCCGGACUCCUACGGGAGGCAGCAGUGGGGAAUAUUGGACAAUGGGGGCAACCCUGAUCCAGCCAUGCCGCGUGUGUGAAGAAGGCCUUUUGGUUGUAAAGCACUUUAAGCAGGGAGGAGAGGCUAAUGGUUAAUACCCAUUAGAUUAGACGUUACCUGCAGAAUAAGCACCGGCUAACUCUGUGCCAGCAGCCGCGGUAAUACAGAGGGUGCGAGCGUUAAUCGGAAUUACUGGGCGUAAAGCGAGUGUAGGUGGCUCAUUAAGUCACAUGUGAAAUCCCCGGGCUUAACCUGGGAACUGCAUGUGAUACUGGUGGUGCUAGAAUAUGUGAGAGGGAAGUAGAAUUCCAGGUGUAGCGGUGAAAUGCGUAGAGAUCUGGAGGAAUACCGAUGGCGAAGGCAGCUUCCUGGCAUAAUAUUGACACUGAGAUUCGAAAGCGUGGGUAGCAAACAGGAUUAGAUACCCUGGUAGUCCACGCCGUAAACGAUGUCUACUAGCCGUUGGGGUCCUUGAGACUUUAGUGGCGCAGUUAACGCGAUAAGUAGACCGCCUGGGGAGUACGGCCGCAAGGUUAAAACUCAAAUGAAUUGACGGGGGCCCGCACAAGCGGUGGAGCAUGUGGUUUAAUUCGAUGCAACGCGAAGAACCUUACCUGGUCUUGACAUAGUGAGAAUCCUGCAGAGAUGCGGGAGUGCCUUCGGGAAUUCACAUACAGGUGCUGCAUGGCUGUCGUCAGCUCGUGUCGUGAGAUGUUGGGUUAAGUCCCGCAACGAGCGCAACCCUUUUCCUUAUUUGCCAGCGGGUUAAGCCGGGAACUUUAAGGAUACUGCCAGUGACAAACUGGAGGAAGGCGGGGACGACGUCAAGUCAUCAUGGCCCUUACGACCAGGGCUACACACGUGCUACAAUGGUAGGUACAGAGGGUUGCUACACAGCGAUGUGAUGCUAAUCUCAAAAAGCCUAUCGUAGUCCGGAUUGGAGUCUGCAACUCGACUCCAUGAAGUCGGAAUCGCUAGUAAUCGCAGAUCAGAAUGCUGCGGUGAAUACGUUCCCGGGCCUUGUACACACCGCCCGUCACACCAUGGGAGUCUAUUGCACCAGAAGUAGGUAGCCUAACGAAAGAGGGCGCUUACCACCGGUUUGUUCCAAUGGU